AUUUGUCCUGUGUGCUUCUGUAUAUUUGCCUAGUAGCCGACUGACUUCUGAAGGCGGUUUUCACAGCGGUUUGGCUUUACGUGCCUUUACAUAGCCUUACAUACGUAUAAAUUGUUCCUCUGGCCAUUGCACCUCCUGUUGAUUCAUUGAACAAUUUGUGGGAUGCCUUACUGUAUGUCAGUCACUUCCCUGUAUGAGGAAGAAAAAGAUGAAGGCUAUUCUUGUUCCUGGAAACAUUCGCAGCCCCAUAGAGGAAACAGAAUUGCCAUACAGUAUGACGAAUGCUAAGAAUAACACAAGGGCACCGAAACCAACUCUAGAGUGAUAUGGGUAGUGGCAUUAUUCCAGUUGGAGAUAUAAAGCAGAGAACCAUCAUUCUCAAAACUGUUCUGAGAGUCAGCAUGUCACCUCUUUCACUCC
rnacentral:lncRNA from 1 species